rnacentral:rRNA from 1 species
GAUGAACGCUGGCGGCGUGCCUAAUACAUGCAAGUCGAGCGAACGGACGAGAAGCUUGCUUCUCUGAUGUUAGCGGCGGACGGGUGAGUAACACGUGGAUAACCUACCUAUAAGACUGGGAUAACUUCGGGAAACCGGAGCUAAUACCGGAUGAUAUUUUGAACCACAUGGUUCAAAAGUGAAAGACGGUCUUGCUGUCACUUAUAGAUGGAUCCGCGCUGCAUUAGCUAGUUGGUAAGGUAACGGCUUACCAAGGCAACGAUGCAUAGCCGACCUGAGAGGGUGAUCGGCCACACUGGAACUGAGACACGGUCCAGACUCCUACGGGAGGCAGCAGUAGGGAAUCUUCCGCAAAGGGCGAAAGCCUGACGGAGCAACGCCGCGUGAGUGAUGAAGGUCUUCGGAUCGUAAAACUCUGUUAUUAGGGAAGAACAUAUGUGUAAGUAACUGUGCACAUCUUGACGGUACCUAAUCAGAAAGCCACGGCUAACUACGUG